rnacentral:piRNA from 1 species
UAUCCAGCAAUACAGACAUGCUCCAAGG